rnacentral:rRNA from 1 species
CUACGGGAGGCAGCAGAGGGGAAUAUUGCGCAAUGGGCGAAAGCCUGACGCAGCCAUGCCGCGUGUGUGAAGAAGGCCUUCGGGUUGUAAAGCACUUUCAAUUGGGAAGAAAGGUUGCGUGUUAAUAGCACGUAGCUGUGACGUUACCUUUAGAAGAAGCACCGGCUAACUCCGUGCCAGCAGCCGCGGUAAUACGGAGGGUGCGAGCGUUAAUCGGAAUUACUGGGCGUAAAGCGCGCGUAGGCGGUUUGUUAAGUCGGAUGUGAAAUCCCCGGGCUCAACCUGGGAAUGGCAUUCGAUACUGGCCGACUAGAGUACGAGAGAGGGAGGUAGAAUUCCACGUGUAGCGGUGAAAUGCGUAGAUAUGUGGAGGAAUACCGGUGGCGAAGGCGGCCUCCUGGCUCGAUACUGACGCUGAGGUGCGAAAGCGUGGGUAGCAAACAGGAUUAGAUACCCGAGUAGUCU